ensembl:snoRNA
UAGAUCAAUGAUGACUACUGGUGGCAUCUGAGUCAUAUAUGAUGAAUAUGUGUCUGGAACUCUGAUAGAUAGAUGUCAGGAUCAAU